ACCAAGUCAGGACAGGUGGGAAGAAUCAGCACUGCAACAGGAAGCAGGACACAGGGAGAGGAAGCAGCACUGGGAUGGAAGCAAACACUAAACCCAAAAAAAAGCCAAGUCGUCACGCGGGACUCAAGAUCUCUGUGGAUUUUAGGAGACUGAAGAUGGUGGCGGAGGUCAAAGACCAUCUUCUUACAUGUACCACCCAGAGUCUGACCAGCAGUGAGAAAAAAGGGAAGAACAUCAAACAUCAGAAUCGAGGAGAUACAAGCAUAUCAAUGAACAUCCUUAAAAACAGCUGAGCGCUCCUGUAACUCUGACAAAAUGGACCAUAACCAAAUAUCCACUGUAGAGGACACCGGUUCCCUGGAAUAUACAAAAAAAUAUAAUAAAAAAUUGAAUCC